AGCACAACAGCUGCAGUGCCACAGGCCCAUGGAAUAAGUCAGGAGAGCACUGUGCACACCCACCAUUCUCAAUCAUUAGGAACAACAUAUGGUGGGUUGGUGUUCGUGCUGCCUUUCUCUGCCUGCCCUGUUUCUGCUCAAGGUGUAAGUAAAUUAGGAGAGAGGAAUGCUGCACACGUGAGCAGAGAUCUGCAGGGGGAACAGCCAUAUGGGUGGCUGAGACACCCCAUCAUUGGCCACAAACUCCCAAAGCACCGAGCACAACACCACAACGUUUACAAACAAGAUUUGUCACUUGGAAGGCAGUAAUUGGUGUUUGAACCCGCGGUGGCGUGCCACCAAACGAGUUCCAACAACCCCACGUGUUCCCUGCUCUCCCACCAGAAGGGAGGACUCCCAGGAAAAGGGAAAAUCCUGCUGCUGCCUCUGAUGCUGAUGGCCUGGGAAUUGCAGAUUGUUUUCAGUCCCUGAAUGACACAAUCUUAACAAGAGCUGGGGAGCAGCACAGCCUUGGUGACUGAAAUGGGGUCUGGCUCCAUCUCGGUUCAGCAAACAAGAAAUCCAAGGAAUUCAGUAAGGACCAGCUCCAUGGCUAAUGUCAGACAUGUUUCAGUACAGUGCUGAAUCAGAUCCUAAUCUCCCGCUCCCCUGGCAUCCCAAAACAUGAAAACAAUACAACCAUGCC